rnacentral:lncRNA from 1 species
AACUAUGACUUAUAAUUCUUCUUUUACAAUUUCUAGUGAUUUUCCAAAGUUGGAAUAGGGGAUCACGAAGUCACUCUGAACCAGUCUUACAAAAAUUUAAAUAUCUCAGAAUAUAGACUUCCUUUGCUUGCUCUAUUUCUUUCCUAUGAAAAUAGACUUAAUGAGAUUUAAUUCUAUAUCUCAUUCACCAUUUAAUUCCAUUUCUAAAAUUGUUAGCAAUUUUUCAAAUCCACAUCAUUGCUGUUGUUUCC